rnacentral:rRNA from 1 species
AAUAAGAUACCCGGGUACGUCCACGCCGUAAACGAUGAGUGCUAAGUGUUAGGGGGGUUUCCGCCCCGUUAGUGCUGCAGCUAACGCAUUAAGCACUCCGCCUGGGGAGUACGGUCGCAAGACUGAAACUCAAAGGAAUUGACGGGGGCCCGCACAAGCGGUGGAGCAUGUGGUUUAAUUCGAAGCAACGCGAAGAACCUUACCAGGUCUUGACAUCCCAUUGACCGCUAUGGAGACAUAGCUUUCCCUUCGGGGACAGUGAUAACAGGUGGUGCAUGGUUGUCGUCAGCUCGUGUCGUGAGAUGUUGGGUUAAGUCCCGCAACGAGCGCAACCCUUGUUCUUAGUUGCCAUCAUUUAGUUGGGCACUCUAAGGAGACUGCCGGUGACAAACCGGAGGAAGGUGGGGAUGACGUCAAAUCAUCAUGCCCCUUAUGACCUGGGCUACACACGUGCUACAAUGGACGGUACAAACGGUUGCCAACCCGCGAGGGGAGCUAAUCCGAUAAAACCGUUCUCAGUUCGGAUUGUAGGCUGCAACUCGCCUAC